rnacentral:rRNA from 1 species
UACGAAGGGGGCUAGCGUUGCUCGGAAUUACUGGGCGUAAAGCGCACGUAGGCGGCUUUCUAAGUCGGGGGUGAAAUCCUGGAGCUCAACUCCAGAACUGCCUUCGAUACUGGAGAGCUUGAGUCCGGGAGAGGUGAGUGGAACUGCGAGUGUAGAGGUGAAAUUCGUAGAUAUUCGCAAGAACACCAGUGGCGAGGCGGCGAUCUGGGAAGAUACUGACGCUGAGGUGCGAAAGCGUGGGGAGCAAACAGG